rnacentral:rRNA from 1 species
UACGUAGGGUGCGAGCGUUGUCCGGAUUUAUUGGGCGUAAAGGGCUCGUAGGCGGCGUGUCGCGUCGGGAGUGAAAGCCCGUUGCUUAACGGCGGGUUGGCUUUCGGUACGGGCAUGCUGGAGUGCGGCAGGGGGAGACUGGAAUUCCUGGUGUAGCAGUGAAAUGCGUAGAUAUCAGGAGGAACACCGAUGGCGAAGGCAGGUCUCUGGGCUGACACUGACGCUCAUGCACGAAAGCGUGGGGAGCAAACAGG